rnacentral:rRNA from 1 species
AUGCACGCUGGCGGCGUGCCUAAUACAUGCCAGUCGAGCGAACAGACGAGGAGCUUGCCCCUCUGACGUUAGCGGCGGACGGGUGAGUAACACGUGGAUAACCUACCUAUAAGACUGGGAUAACUUCGGGAAACCGGAGCUAAUACCGGAUAAUAUAUUGAACCGCAUGGUUCAAUAGUGAAAGACGGUUUUGCUGUCACUUAUAGAUGGAUCCGCGCCGCAUUAGCUAGUUGGUAAGGUAACGGCUUACCAAGGCGACGAUGCGUAGCCGACCUGAGAGGGUGAUCGGCCACACUGGAACUGAGACACGGUCCAGACUCCUACGGGAGGCAGCAGUAGGGAAUCUUCCGCAAUGGGCGAAAGCCUGACGGAGCAACGCCGCGUGAGUGAUGAAGGUCUUCGGAUCGUAAAACUCUGUUAUUAGGGAAGAACAAAUGUGUAAGUAACUAUGCACGUCUUGACGGUACCUAAUCAGAAAGCCACGGCUAACUACGUG